rnacentral:rRNA from 1 species
AGAGUGAACGCUGGCGGUAGGCCUAACACAUGCAAGUCGAACGGCAGCACAGUGGUAGCAAUACCAUGGGUGGCGAGUGGCGGACGGGUGAGGAAUACAUCGGAAUCUACCUUUUCGUGGGGGAUAACGUAGGGAAACUUACGCUAAUACCGCAUACGCCCUUCGGGGGAAAGCCGGGGAUCGCAAGACCUGGCGCGGAUAGAUGAGCCGAUGUCGGAUUAGCUAGUUGGUGAGGUAAUGGCUCACCAAGGCGACGAUCCGUAGCUGGUCUGAGAGGAUGAUCAGCCACACUGGAACUGAGACACGGUCAGACUCCUA